rnacentral:rRNA from 1 species
UGGGGAAUAUUGCACAAUGGGCGCAAGCCUGAUGCAGCCAUGCCGCGUGUGUGAAGAAGGCCUUCGGGUUGUAAAGUACUUUCAGCGGGGAGGAAGGCGGUGAGGUUAAUAACCUCAUCGAUUGACGUUACCCGCAGAAGAAGCACCGGCUAACUCCGUGCCAGCAGCCGCGGUAAUACGGAGGGUGCAAGCGUUAAUCGGAAUUACUGGGCGUAAAGCGCACGCAGGCGGUUUGUUAAGUCAGAUGUGAAAUCCCCGGGCUCAACCUGGGAACUGCAUCUGAUACUGGCAAGCUUGAGUCUCGUAGAGGGGGGUAGAAUUCCAGGUGUAGCGGUGAAAUGCGUAGAGAUCUGGAGGAAUACCGGUGGCGAAGGCGGCCCCCUGGACGAAGACUGACGCUCAGGUGCGAAAGCGUGGGGAGCAAACAGG